rnacentral:rRNA from 1 species
UACAGAGACUGCAAGCGUUAUUCGGAUUCACUGGGCGUAAAGGGUGCGCAGGCGGCCAAGUGUGUUAGGCGUGAAAGCCCGGGGCUUAACCCCGGAAUUGCACCUAAAACUACAUGGCUAGAGCAUUGGAGAGGGUAGCAGAAUUCAUGGUGUAGCAGUGAAAUGCGUAGAUAUCAUGAGGAAUACCAGAGGCGAAGGCGGCUACCUGGACAAUUGCUGACGCUCAGGCACGAAAGCGUGGGGGAGCAAAAAGGG